UACAGAGGUCUCAACCGUUGUUCGGAUUCAUUGGGCGUAAAGGGUGCGUAGGCGGUCGCGCAAGUCGGAUGUGAAAUCUUAGGGCUCAACCCUGAAACUGCAUUCGAUACUGCGUGGCUAGAGUACUGGAGAGGAGACUGGAAUUUACGGUGUAGCAGUGAAAUGCGCAGAUAUCAGGAGGAACACCGGUGGCGAAGGCGGGUCUCUGGGCCGAUACUGACGCUGAGGAGCGAAAGCGUGGGGAGCGAACAGG
rnacentral:rRNA from 1 species